GUGAGGAAUAUUGGUCAAUGGACGAGAGUCUGAACCAGCCAAGUAGCGUGAAGGAUGAAGGUCCUACGGAUUGUAAACUUCUUUUAUAAGGGAAUAAACCCUCCCACGUGUGGGAGCUUGUAUGUACCUUAUGAAUAAGCAUCGGCUAACUCCGUGCCAGCAGCCGCGGUAAUACGGAGGAUGCGAGCGUUAUCCGGAUUUAUUGGGUUUAAAGGGAGCGCAGACGGGUCGUUAAGUCAGCUGUGAAAGUUUGGGGCUCAACCUUAAAAUUGCAGUUGAUACUGGCGUCCUUGAGUGCGGUUGAGGUGUGCGGAAUUCGUGGUGUAGCGGUGAAAUGCUUAGAUAUCACGAAGAACUCCGAUUGCGAAGGCAGCGCACUAAUCCGUAACUGACGUUCAUGCUCGAAAGUGUGGGUAUCAAACAGGAUUAGAAACCCCGGUAGUCC
rnacentral:rRNA from 1 species